UUCUGAUUGGAUGAUGACUAUCACGUGUCAUAUUUUGAUUGACCAAUCACAACAACAAUACAUUUAAUUAUAAAUAGAGUCGACAUCCAAUCAGAACAUAACACGUGACAAUCAUCAUCC
rfam:Glycine soja cultivar W05 scaffold2494_34, whole genome shotgun sequence.